GUGUGCCCGUGGUAAUAACAGAUAUUUAGAAGUGUGUACGGAAAAUAAAUGGCCGAAAAAGAAGCACAAAAUGAUACUCAAAACAAACGAGAGAGGGGGGGU